rnacentral:lncRNA from 1 species
AAGAUGGCAGAUGAUUGCAUUGGUCCAGAAGUUGAGAAGUUGGUGGCUGAAAUACCAGAAGGAGGAGUUCUGCUGCUGGAAAAUGUGAGAUUCUAUAAAGAGGAGGAGAAGAAUGAAUUCGAGUUUGCAAAGAAGCUGGCGUCUCUUGCAGAUUUGUAUGUCAAUGAUGCCUUUGGUACUGCACACAGAGCACAUGCUUCCACAGAAGGGGUUGCUAAGUACUUGAAACCAGCAGUUGCUGGAUUCCUUAUGCAAAAGGUACAAAUUACUUUGGACUGUGAAAUGUAAGAAGAAAAUUUGGUAGGUCGGGAAGAAGCAUGCACUAAGAUUAGCUCAAUUGUCCAGCACAAUAAUUUUUCUUGCUCAGUUAUCAAAAAAUGGAUAUAGAACAUGCUUUGGUAUCUCAGAAGUAUCACGAAUAAGUCAUAAGAGACAUAACAGUUAUCGAAAACAGUAUGAUGACCUAUCUAGCACAAUAUGGAAUGGCCAAUAUGGUGGUUAACACAGUUUUGUGUAUUAGGCUGGAACUCUUUUAUUGCCCUGUAGGUGGCUUAAUUUUCUUUUAUCUUUAUUUCUUAUCCCGAAUCAUGAUGCUUUUAGGAACUUGACUAUCUUGUCGGAGCUGUAUCAAAUCCACAGAAGCCAUUUGCUGCUAUUGUUGGUGGUUCAAAGGUUUCAAGUAAGAUUGGCGUGAUAGAGUCACUUUUGGAGAAGGUUAACGUGUUAUUGCUUGGUGGAGGUAUGAUCUUUACUUUCUACAAGGCCCUAGGAUACUCUGUUGGAUCCUCACUUGUGGAGGAUGACAAGCUUGAUCUAGCAACAUCACUUAUUGAGAAGGCAAAGGCAAAAGGUGUAUCUUUAUUGCUUCCUGCCGAUGUAGUGAUAGCAGACAAGUUUGCUGUUGAUGCCAACAGCAAGGUAAACGGCUUUUUAGCAAUGGUAUCUUAUUCUACUUGUAGCCACUGUCUUAACUCUUUAUGACUGAUCCUUUUUUCUUUGGCCUUACAGGUUGUUCCAGCAACUGAAAUUCCUGAUGGCUGGAUGGGGUUAGAUAUUGGACCUGAUGCUAUCAAGUCUUUUGGCGAAGCUUUGGAUACCACCAAAACUAUCAUCUGGAAUGGACCUAUGGGAGUGUUUGAGUUUGAAAAAUUUGCCUCUGGAACAGAGGUAUAAAUCGAAGAUCUUGUUUAGUUGCGCCUAUGAGGUUAUGUGCCAAUAGAAUUAUUUUUCUCGUGUAGAGUUUGAGGCGUCGUAGAAUGCUUACUUUCGUUAAUUGAUGUUGACUGCAUGUAUAAUCUCUUUUGGCAUAUAUAAUCCAGGCUAUUGCGAAAAAACUGGCAGAGCUUAGUGGAAAGGGAGUAACAACAAUCAUAGGGGGUGGUGAUUCUGUUGCCGCCGUUGAAAAGGUGGGGCUUGCAGACAAGAUGAGUCACAUUUCAACUGGAGGGGGUGCCAGCUUGGAGCUUCUGGAAGGGAAGCAGCUUCCUGGGGUGCUUGCCCUUGAUGAUGCUUAAGCAGUAUUUAUGUUCUUCCCUCUUUCUGCAUUUUGUAACUUAUCUUUUUGAAUUUUCAUAGUUGCGGAAUAAGAUGAGUGUUAAAGAAUGGUGUAGAGAGGUGAUCAUGGUGUAGAGAGGUGGAUCAAACUGUAGUAAGUGUAUGCUGGGCUCUCAUUUUGUGGCAGUACAGGGCUCUGAGGGCAAAGGGUACUCUGCUUUUCGAUAUCGAUAAUAAUACAGAUCUUUCCCGUGGUUGAUGUCUAGAGCUUCAGUUACUGAUUAAUUACUGGUUUGUUAGUCGUAUACUAUAAUGGUCUAUGAGCGUAUGUCCGCACCAUACUUUAGUUUUGAGCAAGUCCUAGUAGUGAUCAACGGUGAGGAGACAGUAAACCAAGAUAAAAGCAAGCAGGAGUGCCUAGAUAAAUUAAAACUGGACGGUCUUCAAUAUAGGCACCAAACUGCAAGAAAGACGCUAAGUAAAACAAGCAAAUCAUACUAAUUCCUAUAACAUUAUUACUUUUAUACCCUUUUAAAGAAACAACCGAUUCUUGCAUUAUAGAGAACCCCAAAGGUCUAUCAGAACUGAGUGAUUUUAUUGUGUGCCUCACACAACUGACAUUAGUUGUGUAAGGCCUCUUUUUAUCUCACACAUUUGUGGACCCAUAUCUUACACAUUUGGGUUCACAAAAUUCUGGGACCACAGUUGUGAGACAAAAAAGAGGCCUCACACAACUAGCGUCAGUUGUGUGAGACACAAAAUAAAGUUUUUCAUCAGAACUAGCUUGUAAUAGAAAAUUAUUUAAGAUAUCACUAUGGAUGUUCAUGUAAUAACUUUUUACGCUUUAGGUAGCCCAAAAGUCUUUAAAUUAAUUCUCUAAAUAUGUCCAGCUUAAAUUACUUCAGCUCAAGUACAGCCAAAUUUUCACCAGUCAUUUUCUCUUAUUUUGUUGCUUCUUCCUCUCAAAGAGAAGAUGUAAGAAUCAAAAGAACUUCGUUCUUGGUCUUGAUAAUAUGGCGAAUUUGGAAAACAAUCUCAGAAAUCAUCAGGGGCUUAGUUUGUCCUUCAUGUUUAACUUAAAAUCUAUUUAUAGAUUAAUCAAUAAAAUUUAUAUAAUUAGGCCACAAGCAAUCGAAAUAAACCAAUCAGGAUGAAUCUUUGCUAGAACAGAGUAAAGAGCAACGCUAGCAAUAUAAACAAAAGUAACGAAAUAAACUCAACAAUGAAGUAAAGGAUUUCUUAUUGUGUAAUCCGUUGCCGCAAAGAGCUAUUGAACAAUAUUGAUACUCGAGAGGAAAGUGUUGUAAUGAUUCCAAUAUAGUAGUAGAAUGAGAAACAUAAUGAGAAUGGGGUAUAAUUGUGGGAAAAGGGAUAUUUACAGUACAAGCUAACCGUAACUGCUCCUAGAAUCUCUCCCGUAUGUCGUAUCCGUGGUAAAUGUUAAUCCUUUCAGUUACCCUAUCUGGGCAUAACUGUAAGACGUGGUUAAUGAAAAAACCGGAAUAUCCCAAAAUUCGUUGGUUUAGCGGAGGUAUCUAUGCGGACACAUGUAACCUUUUAAAUUCGGAAUGGCUCUAACUGGAGAAGAUAAGACAAUCCCGGGAUAGGCUUCUUCAUCUUUGGUCUUCGACUUUAGUGAUUCCGGAUGACAUGGAGCUGACUAGAAAACGCUUGUCACAUGUUGACUCUUAUCUUGUUCACAUGUCAUGUACACACUAUUUUUCGGGUAGUCCUUUGGGGUAGCCCAGGAAGUGGAAGCUUUUUGGCGGGAAACAAAGCGUAGUAUCCGACACCACUACUUUCAAAAUUGAAGCAUCCACUCUAUUUAAUGCUCGCACGUGGCUAAUUCUGGUUGGAGAAGACAUUAUCAUCGGUUACCGAUACAAUGAUGGUCUAUAAGAAUGAAAUUCCUUUUCUUUGUUGUUUACUCUGCUCACCUUCUUGAAUUUUCCCGAGUAUAGAAACUUGUCCUCUGCAAUCUUCUUCAAAAUCCUUGCUUCUUUUUCUGAAAUACUAACUUUUCUUUGCAAAAUUUAACUUUGGAAUCUCAAGAUUUGAUGCCAGUGAAAGUAUCCUUUGUUGGUUGUUACCAUCAUCGACGCAAUAGAGGAGGAAGAAGUGCUGACGCUGGCAAGGAAAGGGAGAGCUCCGGCCGGGAAAUCAUCUACUAAGGGCAAAAAAGACAGUCGGGAACCUUAUGUUUCAGAAAUAAUCUCUAAAAACUGAAUUUCUCCCGACUGUAUUGUUUAAGGCAAGAGUGACAAAUAACUGGUGGCAAAAAUGCCCUGUUGGAUAAGUACACCACCGUGAUUCGGUGAGAACUUCUUCCCAUCAUCUGGGAAGAGUGCAAAUGAGGAGAUGGAGUGCACAUUUAUCCUACCCGGGACUCGGGAGGAUGAAUGUAUUACCUCACGAUGUCCCGACAUGUCCUUCGUGUACACAUAUCCGUUUACUCUUGGAUUUGAGCCAGUGAUUGAUUCAGUUAUUAAUGAUAUGUAUAGAAAAUAAAUAUCUGCUUAGCCCAGAUAUGUCCAUUAGUUUGGAGGUUAGUUGCGUGUCUUCGCUUCUUAUCCUCUAUUGCUGGUGAAACUUUCACCCUUCACCAUUUUAUGCACUUGUAUUUCUCGAAUCUUUAUCGGAUGGAGUUUUCACCAUGACCGAUUGGAGUAGGCGAGCCAUUGUUCUUGACACCGGUGAUGAGUAUGGUUGGGGAUGGUAUGAAAGGUUCCUCGUUAUACCAGCGCGAGAACUAGUCCCUUCAAACGAGUUUCCUUACCCGGAAACGUGAAACAAUAAAUGUAAGAUGAAGAUAGUGUUUUAGCCUUUUUGGUUCCUUCCCGUUUACUUAUUGUUCAUCUCUAUAUAGUGUAGUCCCCUAGUGUUCGAGUUUGAAGUAUGAAAGCUCGGACACUGGUCUUGUUAUCCGAUUGCCUUGUCACAGUGAAUUGAUAUUCUACUUCGAUGGAUCAGUCUGAUUCCCGGAGAGGAAGUAAAGGGGACGUGAAGAUGAAGAUGGUGCUUUAGCCUAUUUGGUUAGACUUCUUUGACCCUGGCUGGGAAUGAUUGCUGCUUCGAAAUGUUGCCGAGGGUCAGUAUUGUCAUCAUCUGAGCAACUAUGCCUAUUCUCUGAAAGUGUUAGUAUAAUCAAAUGAAAAUGCACAAAAUAUAAAAGAGAAGGACAAAAUUGUUCGAGAUCCUUUAGCAGUAGUAGCGCUUCAAGUGAGUGAUAUAUCAGUUGGAUUGAAGUUAUUUUUCCUCCAUUGUCUCGAGCUGAUACGCUUUCUUGCCUACAGUUCCACUGACUCAAUAUGGAUCUGAUUCCCAAUUAGGAUUGAGUUUUCCAAUGUUACGCUGUUGAGUUCCGGUGACACGACCCAAUCUCACCAUGACCGUGAUGACAUCUAACUUAACUCGGUUGGUGAACCAACAUACAUAAACAACCAUAAUAAGAUAAUAUAAAAUAGGUUCAACUGACAUAAUAUAGAAGAGAGUAUGAACAAGUCUAAAA